GUUAUGAGAUCUUCUUCUUGUGUCCCUUCCCUCUGUCUACACCCAGUGUGCUGUCCUGAUCAAUUUAGAUCCUACUACCAGAAGACUUUACUCAGGGUAGGUCUUUUUCCUGCUGGGAGUUUUUCUCGAGUAUUUCUGAUGUCCUUGAAGACCUACGUCACUCCCGUGUCCUCUCAGAGUGGAGUCCUCUCUGGGAGGGGAGCUUUUAUUGGUCUGUGUUCUAAGGCCCUCAGCAGUGACUCUAAAGCUCCCUAGUUACGCCAGCUUGCAAGACGAGAUUGAGUGCAGCUCUUCCGAAACCUGCAGGCAGUGACGUGAACUACGGUGGAAGUAUUCAUACCCUGAAAAUCAGCAAACACUACAAGUCAGCAGAAGAAAGGAUCAGUGAAUUUGAAGACAGAUGGAUAGAAAUCAUUCAAGCUGAAGCAAAUACAAUACAAAGACUUUUAAAAAAUGAACUUGUGCAUCAGUAUCGAACAUGGAGUCCCAGAAGAAGAGGAGAGAGAGAAUAUGGCAGAACAGUUAUUUAAAGAACACAACGGCCCCCAAAUUUCCAAAUUUGGUAAAAAGUGUUUCAAUCUGUAGACCCGAGAAGCUCAGCAGAUCCCAAGCAGGAUAAAUUCAAAGAAAACUACUAUUAGGCAAAUCUUCAGCAAACUGCUAAAAACCACAGAUAAGCAGUUAAAGAAAAAAGACACAUUAUAUAUAGGAGAACAAGGGGGCAGAAGACAAUGGGAAAACAUCUUUAAAAUGCUUGUGGGGGGAAAAUACCUGUCAACUUAGAAUUACAUGUCCAGUAAAAAUAUCCUGAAUCCCCCACAAUGAAGCUAAAUGAGUUAUCUGGGUCAUCUGAUCUAUGACACACUGGUUUGGAUGGUUUAGGCUGCUCCAAAAAGUGUCGUAUGGACAGAGAUGAGGGAUUCUGGAGCCGGCCUGCCUGAGUCCAGUUCCUGACUCUAGUAUUCACUAGCUGAGCGAACUUGGGCAGGCUCCUUAACUUCUCUCUGCCUCAUUUGAUCAUUUGUAAAUGAGAGUAAUAGUAAUAAUGUCCACUUCACAUCAUUAUUGUAAGGAUUAAGUGAAUUAUUUAAUUACCAACUAUUGGGGUUUUCCAGAUAUCUGUCUUUCUGUUAUUGGUUUCUAAUUUAAUUCCAUUAUGAUCCAAGAACAUAUUUUGUAUGACUUCAAUUCUUUUAAAUUAUAAAGGUUUGUUUAAUGACCCAGGAUAGAGACUAUCUUGGUGAUAUUUCACAUGCAGUUGAAAAAAAAUGUGUAUUUUGUUGUUGUUGGGUAAAGUGGUCUAUAAACGUCAAAUUGGGUCCACUGA